AUAUCAAUGGAAGGUGUGACACCUACCCAGAUAGUCAGGAAGGGUGAGAAUAUAACUAUCAACUGUACCAUGAAGGACCCAGGAAACCCGGAGGCUGAGUCUGCAAUAUGGUUGAGAGAGGGAGUGAGGAUAAAGGAGAAGCGGGGUUAAAUUUAACCUUAGUCAACGUAGGGGUGGAUCAUGAGAAAAACUACACAUGUAUUCCAUUCAAUCAGGUUGGUAAAGGGAACGGCUCCAGUGUACGUGUUACAGUGACCUCACCCCCUAGGCUAGUAAAGGGACUUAGUCUAGAGUCCGGGGCACCUGUAGAGAGAACUCAGGUUGAAUUGAUGUGUUCUGUAGAAUGUUCACCUCUCUGCUCUAUCUCUUGGAUGAAAAACGGAAUUAGGUUAAAGAAUGGUUCUAACUAUAUAAUGAAGGAAGUUGUUCGUCUAGCAGAUUAUUCUACCAACACUCUAUCACAGGUUGAAAGUCAGCUGGUGAUGAAUGUGAGUGGAUGGGAGGGAGGAUUAGUUCCAGAUAGAGAUACUGCCAACUACUCCUGCCAUAGCAGUAAUAAUACCUUUGGGCCUGGCGUCUCCAGCUUUACCAUCUUCAGGGUUCACUAUGCUCCCCGGAAUAUACAGAUCACACCAAAAGUUCAAACUGUGAAGGAGAAAUACAGACCCAGAGAGUUUUUCUGUGAGGCAGAGGCAUAUCCUCCAGCUAAAUAUUUCUGGCAGUUUGAAAAUGGAACUAGAACUAGAAGUGGACAAUAUCUUAAAUAUCCUUCAGCUAUCAGGCGAUCUGAUGGAGGUGUUUACACUUGCACAGCAUACAAUACCCUGGGGAAUAUUCAGGAUACAACAAGUUUAAAUGUUGUGUAUAAACCUGACUGCAGCAUAAACAAGGAUAUUAAAGAUGGCAUCUUAUAUCUCAGCUGUGAAGUUGAUGCUUUCCCGCCUAACGUGACGUACUAUUGGUAUCAAGGAGACACACUUAUAUCAUCCGCAAUAUUCUCUUCAGCUACACAGUUCGAGGUCUCUAAGGGUAUUGUUGGGGAAUUCUCUUGUCAAGCCAUUAAUCUGGCAGGUCUAGGGCCCAAAUGUACUGUACAGAUAAAUGACCCGGCGACCAUUUUGGUUGAAGAAGACGACUUUGCCUAUCUAACAUUUGGCGGCAUUUUCAUCUCAAUCUUUGCACUGUCCCUUCUUCUCUCAAUUAUUUUUUGCAGAAAGAAGAAGGAGGAAAAAUAUGACAUCACUGUAAUUCACGAGGUUCAAGAAGAUCUAACAAUUAGAACCCGAGAAGAGAAAACAGCUAAUUUAGAGUCCAAGACCCUAACUGUUGACAGACGAAACCCAAUUAUAAAGGACGAAUUAAAGAAUGGAAAUGAACCGCUAAUGCCGACAACCCCAGGCUUUUCAAAAUCGGAGACUGUUCUGAGCGGAAAAAGAUUUACUGAGUGUGCUCAAGAAAUUACCAGAAACGGAGACAACUUUUUACAAUGUGAGGAGACCGACGAAAACGGAAUUAGGGUUUCCGAUCGUGUUCUAGAAACUGGCGGAAAUGGACUGAUGUUCUCCAAAUGUCCGGAAACAAGCGGAAACGGUAACAGAUAUCUGGAAAGCACUGAAGAGACAGCCGGAAGCAGAACCAGAUAUCUUGAUAGCACUGAUCAGAAAAUCGGAACCGGAAACAGAUAUGAUUGUGCAUCAGACGGGACAGCAAACAGAUAUAUAGAAUCAGGAAAAAAUAGUGUAAACGGAUUUUACGAUACCACUCCGGAAAAGUAUAACCGACUUAGUUUACCAAGAAGAGAUCAACGCUACAUGUUUGAUGGUAGUAGGUCUGAACAUAAUUUUAAUGAACUUGAACAUUUACCCUAUGUUAGUGAACAGACAGUUAAUAAUGGAUAUCAAAUACCUUCACAAAUAGAUGUAUAUCCACCAAGAGGGGAGGAAUACAUCCAUUCCUUACAGACUGGGGGUAAUGGAACCCUAAGACUUGCUGGAAAUAGAUCAAUGCAAAAUGGAGAAAAUGGAACACAUCGAUCACGUGGAAAUGGAACAUUUUAUACAAGUGAAAAUGGAACGUUUCAUUCACGUGGGAACGGUGCACUACACAAUAAAGGGAAUGAAUACUUUAAUCAAAUAGAGGACUCUGUUCCAGUUUUACGUUCAGGAACGUUAAAAAAUCCACGAGAUCAUAGAGAGCACAGAUCAAGACGGAAGACAAAGAGUUUAGUGAGGACGCCAACAGAACUCUGGUUGGUCUAACCACUCUAAAACAGAACUAUGGUUGGUCUAACCACUCUAAAACAGAACUCUGGUUGGUCUAACCACUCCAAAACAGAACUCUUAUUGGUCUAACCACACCAAAACAGAACUCUGAUUGGUCUACCAACUACAAAACAGAGCUCUGGUUGGUCUAUCAACUUCAAAACAGAACUCUGAUUGGUCUAACAACUCCAAAACAGAACUCUGGUUGGUCUAUCAACUUCAAAACAGAACUCCGGUUGGUCUAACAGCUCCAAAACAGUACUCUGAUUGGUCCAAAAACUCUGGAAUUUUAUUAACAGAAGUCUGAUUGGUCCAAAAACACUGGAUUUGUCAAGAGACAGAACAAAGUUUGGUUCAAAAACUUUGGAUGUUAAUUAACAGAACUCUGAUUGGUCUGAAAGCUUUUGUUGAUCUUAAAACAAAUCGUAUGGUUGUUUUGAAGAACUUUUAUAUUGCUGUUCUUGUGGUAUAAUCUUAUUAAAGGUACUGUAGACGUAAUUUCAAAUUACCUCCGGUAUGAAAAGUGAAGUUGCGUCGACAACCCCUUAAAGUGAGAAAAAAGAAUGAUUAGUUUGACAGUAUUUUAUAAAUAGUUGACACAGCUGUAUACAAUAUACAGUAUACAUGGCCAAAUUAUAGAUAUUGUUGAUGAUUAAAUUGUUAAAAUGUUUGUUUUGCUUCGAGAAUAGAAUCUUUAUAAAUUGUA
rnacentral:misc_RNA from 1 species